rnacentral:rRNA from 1 species
CCUACGGGGGGCAGCAGUGAGGAAUAUUGGUCAAUGGACGCAAGUCUGAACCAGCCAUGCCGCGUGCAGGAAGACGGCUCUAUGAGUUGUAAACUGCUUUUGUACGAGGGUAAACGCAGAUACGCGUAUCUGUCUGAAAGUAUCGUACGAAUAAGGAUCGGCUAACUCCGUGCCAGCAGCCGCGGUAAUACGGAGGAUUCAAGCGUUAUCCGGAUUUAUUGGGGUUAAAGGGUGCGUAGGCGGUCGGAUAAGUUAGAGGUGAAAUCCCGAGGCUCAACUUCGGAAUUGCCUCUGAUACUGGUCGGCGAGAGAGUAGUUGCGGUAGGGGGAAUGUAAGGUGUAGCGGGGAAAGGCUUAGAGAUCAUACAGAACACCGGUUGCGAAGGCAGCUUACCAAGCUACUUCUGACGUUGAGGCACGAAAGCGUGGGGAGCAAACAGGAUUAGAUACCCCUGUAGUC